CCCCCCCCCCCCCCCCCGAGAGACAGAAAGAGCUUCCCUGAGUCGUUUAAACCGCCGCCGCCGCACGCCGCCAGACGGUGGCGCUAACUCAUCACGUCAUCAGCGGGAAACCAGAAGAAGUGUAAAAAAAGGUUUUUGUGCUGUUGUUUUUGUUGCAUCUGCCGCCAAUAUCAUAAAAUAAAGGUUUUGUAAAAAUUGA